rnacentral:tRNA from 2 species
AGAACCCUAGUAAAUCAUUACAUAGCUCUGUCAACGCUAAGUUAUAGGCCAAAACCCUAUGGAUUCUA